AAGAAGCGUGGACUCUUGUCCUGAGUGCACCGAGGCUUUCAGCCUGCGGGACAGUGGUGCGAUUUGCAUUAGAGCCUAUCUCCCAGGACUAUGGAAGCCCCAUGCAGGAACAUGGUUCUGACACUUUGGGGAUUAUACCCUAAGCUUAAAGGACUGGAAAAGCCCCUGAAGUCCCGAGACCACAACCCUCCACCUUCUAAAGAUAAGACAAGUCACUGAAGGU
rnacentral:lncRNA from 1 species